rnacentral:rRNA from 1 species
UACGUAGGCAGCAAGCGUUGUUCGGAGUUACUGGGCGUAAAGAGUGUGUAGGCGGUUUUCUAAGUUUGGUGUGAAAUCUCCCGGCUUAACUGGGAGGGUGCGCCGAAGACUGGAAGGCUUGAGUAUGGGAGAGGAAAGCGGAAUUCCUGGUGUAGCGGUGAAAUGCGUAGAUAUCAGGAGGAACACCUGUGGUGUAGACGGCUUUCUGGACCAUCACUGACGCUGAGACACGAAAGCGUGGGUAGCAAACAGG